UACGUAGGGUGCAAGCGUUAAUCGGAAUUACUGGGCGUAAAGCGUGCGCAGGCGGUUGUGCAAGACAGAUGUGAAAUCCCCGGGCUCAACCUGGGAACUGCAUUUGUGACUGCAUAGCUAGAGUACGGUAGAGGGGGAUGGAAUUCCGCGUGUAGCAGUGAAAUGCGUAGAUAUGCGGAGGAACACCGAUGGCGAAGGCAAUCCCCUGGACUAACACUGACGCUCAUGCACGAAAGCGUGGGGAGCAAAAGGG
rnacentral:rRNA from 1 species